rnacentral:rRNA from 1 species
AUUGAACGCUGGCGGCAUGCCUUACACAUGCAAGUCGAACGGCAGCACGGGUGCUUGCACCUGGUGGCGAGUGGCGAACGGGUGAGUAAUACAUCGGAACAUGUCCUGUAGUGGGGGAUAGCCCGGCGGAAGCCGGAUUAAUACCGCAUACGAUCUACGGAUGACAGCGGGGGACCUUCGGGCCUCGCGCUAUAGGGUUGGCCGAUGGCUGAUUAGCUAGUUGGUGGGGUAAAGGCCUACCAAGGCGACGAUCAGUAGCUGGUCUGAGAGGACGACCAGCCACACUGGGACUGAGACACGGCCCAGACUCCUACGGGAGGCAGCAGUGGGGAAUUUUGGACAAUGGGCGAAAGCCUGAUCCAGCAAUGCCGCGUGUGUGAAGAAGGCCUUCGGGUUGUAAAGCACUUUUGUCCGGAAAGAAAUCCUUGGCCCUAAUACGGUCGGGGGAUGACGGUACCGGAAGAAUAAGCACCGGCUAACUACGUG